GACGAACGCUGGCGGCGUGCUUAACACAUGCAAGUCGAACGGAAAGGCCCUGCUUUUGUGGGGUGCUCGAGUGGCGAACGGGUGAGUAACACGUGAGUAACCUGCCCUUGACUUUGGGAUAACUUCAGGAAACUGGGGCUAAUACCGGAUAGGAGCUCCUGCUGCAUGGUGGGGGUUGGAAAGUUUCGGCGGUUGGGGAUGGACUCGCGGCUUAUCGGCUUGUUGGUGGGGUAGUGGCUUACCAAGGCUUUGACGGGUAGCCGGCCUGAGAGGUGACCGGCCACAUUGGGACUGAGAUACGGCCCAGACUCCUACGGGAGGCAGCAGUGGGGAAUAUUGCACAAUGGGCGGAAGCCUGAUGCAGCAACGCCGCGUGCGGGAUGACGGCCUUCGGGUUGUAAACCGCUUUCGCCUGUGACGAAGCGUGAGUGACGGUAAUGGGUAAAGAAGCACCGGCUAACUACGUG
rnacentral:rRNA from 1 species